UACGUAGGGUGCAAGCGUUUGUCCGGAAUUAUUGGGCGUAAAGAGCUCGUAGGCGGUUUGUCGCGUCAGCUGUGAAAGCCCCCGGGCUUAACCUGGGAAUGGCGGUUGAAACUAGUCGACUUGAAUCUGGCAGAGGGGGGUGGAAUUCCACGUGUAGCAGUGAAAUGCGUAGAGAUGUGGAGGAACACCGAUGGCGAAGGCAGCCCCCUGGGCUGAGAUUGACGCUCAGGCACGAAAGCGUGGGGGAGCAAACAGG
rnacentral:rRNA from 1 species